GGGCCUGUAGUGUAAUGGUAACAUUGCUACUUGCCAGUAUGGUUAAGCAGAAGAUCCUGAGUUCAAUUCUGCGCUAAUUCU